rnacentral:rRNA from 1 species
CAAUAGCGUAUAUUAAAGUUGUUGCAGUUAAAAGCUCGUAGUUGGAUUUCGGAGUGGGCCAGUUGGUCCGCCGCAAGGUGUGUUACUGACUGGUUUGCUCUUCUUCGCAAAGACUGCGUGUGCCUUCAAUUGAGUGUGCAGUGAUGGACGUUUAACGGAAAUUUCAGUUUCAGCACGUUUUUUAGCAAAAAUUUUGAAAAAAUUGAGGUGAUUGUCGUUCAAAAAGGCCAAGGGGCCUUAAUUUGGCCUUUGGAAAAUUACAUGAGCAUGGAAUAAUGGAAUAGGACUUUGGUCCCAUUUUGUUGGUUUCUAGGGCCGAAGUAAUGAUUAAGAGGGACAAUUGGGGCAUCCGUAUUUCGUUGUCAGAGGUGAAAUUCUUGGAUUUACGAAAGACGAACAACUGCGAAAGCACUUGCCAAGAGUGUUUUCAUUAAUCAAGAACGAAAGUUAGAGGAUCGAAG